rnacentral:rRNA from 1 species
UACGAAGGGUGCAAGCGUUACUCGGAAUUACUGGGCGUAAAGCGUGCGCAGGCGGUCCGCUAAGACAGAUGUGAAAUCCCCGGGCUCAACCUGGGAACUGCAUUUGUGACUGCAUGGCUAGAGUGCGGCAGAGGGGGAUGGAAUUCCGCGUGUAGCAGUGAAAUGCGUAGAUAUGCGGAGGAACACCGAUGGCGAAGGCAAUCCCCUGGGCCUGCACUGACGCUCAUGCACGAAAGCGUGGGGAGCAAACAGG